rnacentral:rRNA from 1 species
UACAGAGGCCUCGAGCGUUGUUCGGAAUUACUGGGCGUAAAGGGAAUGUAGGCGGUCCGGUAAGUCCGCUGUGAAAGUCGAGGGCUCAACCCUCGAAUGCCGGUGGAUACUGUCGGGCUAGAGUACGGAAGAGGCGAGUGGAAUUCCUGGUGUAGCGGUGAAAUGCGCAGAUAUCAGGAGGAACACCAAUUGCGAAGGCAGCUCGCUGGGACGUUACUGACGCUGAGACGCGAAAGCGUGGGGAGCAAACAGG